GUGCUCACUUCAGUGGCUCCUAUGAUAAAAUUGGCAUGAUACAGAUAUCAGCAUGGCCCUUGUGCAAGGAAGACCCAUAAGUUCAUGGCACGGUUCAUAUGUUU